rnacentral:tRNA from 1 species
AGCAACAUGGUCCAGUGGAAAGAGCAAUGAACUUGAGUUACAGAUUCUGAGUUCAAAUCCCAAUGUUGCUA